UACGUAGGGAGCGAGCGUUGUCCGGAAUGACUGGGUGUAAAGGGAGCGUAGGCGGGAUGGCAAGUCAGAUGUGAAAACUGAGGGCUUAACCUUCAGACUGCAUUUGAAACUGCUGUUCUUGAGUGAGGUAGAGGUAAGCGGAAUUCCUGGUGUAGCGGUGAAAUGCGUAGAGAUCAGGAGGAACAUCGGUGGCGAAGGCGGCUUACUGGGCCUUUACUGACGCUGAGGCUCGAAAGCGUGGGGAGCAAACAGG
rnacentral:rRNA from 1 species